rnacentral:rRNA from 1 species
UACGAAGGGGGCUAGCGUUGCUCGGAAUCACUGGGCGUAAAGGGUGCGUAGGCGGGUCUUUAAGUCCGGGGUGAAAUCCUGGAGCUCAACUCCAGAACUGCCUUCGAUACUGGCGAUCUCGAGUUCGGGAGAGGUGAGUGGAACUGCGAGUGUAGAGGUGAAAUUCGUAGAUAUUCGCAAGAACACCAGUGGCGAAGGCGGCUCACUGGCCCGAUACUGACGCUGAGGUGCGAAAGCGUGGGGAGCAAACAGG